AGUACAACUAGUGGGAGACACAUUAUAAUUGAGGUAAGGUUGGAGACACUAGCUAAUUUAAUCAAUAAAUUAAUAAAUAAGCUUGUGUUAUCUCUUUUCGGUGUUGUAAUUUGUAGACGUCCCUAAGCAUUCUUACUGCCAGGUAGUAACAGCAUCAGC